rnacentral:rRNA from 1 species
GUGGUAAUGCCGGAUGUUCCACAUGAUCGCAUGUGAUUGUGGGAAAGAUUCUAUCGGCGUGGGAUGGGGUCGCGUCCUAUCAGCUUGUUGGUGAGGUAACGGCUCACCAAGGCUUCGACGGGUAGCCGGCCUGAGAGGGCGACCGGCCACAUUGGGACUGAGAUACGGCCCAGACUCCUACGGGAGGCAGCAGUGGGGAAUAUUGCACAAUGGGCGCAAGCCUGAUGCAGCGACGCCGCGUGAGGGAUGGAGGCCUUCGGGUUGUAAACCUCUUUUGUUUGGGAGCAAGCCUUCGGGUGAGUGUACCUUUCGAAUAAGCGCCGGCUAACUACGUGCCAGCAGCCGCGGUAAUACGUAGGGCGCAAGCGUUAUCCGGAUUUAUUGGGCGUAAAGGGCUCGUAGGCGGCUCGUCGCGUCCGGUGUGAAAGUCCAUCGCUUAACGGUGGAUCUGCGCCGGGUACGGGCGGGCUGGAGUGCGGUAGGGGAGACUGGAAUUCCCGGUGUAACGGUGGAAUGUGUAGAUAUCGGAAAAAAACACC